GAGAGGAAAUUGAGAAGUGAAAGAAGGUUGGAUAUGCUUUGCGUAGGUCUCGCUGCUUUGUCUGUUGCGGCUUUUUCCACUCUCUUUCUCUCCUGAAAUUUAAACGACUAAUCUGAUUCGCGUGUCGGUUUCAAUUUUAAAUGUCUAAUCUGAUUCGUGUGUCGGUUUCAACAUAAGUGAUUUCAGCCUCUCCCGACUGUAUGAUUUAAUUGGAUAACUAAUGUGUCUGAUGAAUAUUAUAGUCUGCUAUUUAAUGAAUAUAAAACGACAAAUUACUUGUAAUUGAGAUUAGAUAUGAGGGAAUAUAUUGGUAUGUUAGUGAGCAAAUUUGUACUCUAUGUUACUAUAUUUUCAUAUCCAAAUACAAACAAGGAACAAUUUUAUUUUGUUACUUAGAAUGAUUGAAAUUGAAGGAAAGGAAAGUGCAGCCAAAAGUGUAAAUACUGAUAGAGAAGUGUUUGAUCCCAUCACGGUAUUAGUGUGACUUUGUUUACAC
rnacentral:lncRNA from 1 species